rnacentral:rRNA from 1 species
UAUCCUGGCUCAGGAUGAACGCUAGCGGCAGGCUUAACACAUGCAAGUCGAGGGGUAUAGUACUUCGGUGCUAGAGACCGGCGCACGGGUGCGUAACGCGUAUGCAAUCUGCCUUUCACAGAGGGAUAGCCCAGAGAAAUUUGGAUUAAUACCUCAUAGUAUAGUACAGCCGCAUGGUUGAACUAUUAAAGUCACAACGGUGAAAGAUGAGCAUGCGUCCCAUUAGCUUGUUGGUAAGGUAACGGCUUACCAAGGCUACGAUGGGUAGGGGUCCUGAGAGGGAGAUCCCCCACACUGGUACUGAGACACGGACCAGACUCCUACGGGAGGCAGCAGUGAGGAAUAUUGGACAAUGGGCGCAAGCCUGAUCCAGCCAUGCCGCGUGCAGGAUGACGGUCCUAUGGAUUGUAAACUGCUUUUGUACGAGAAGAAAUACUCCAACGUGUUGGGGCUUGACGGUAUCGUAAGAAUAAGGAUCGGCUAACUCCGUG